rnacentral:rRNA from 1 species
UACGUAGGGUGCAAGCGUUAAUCGGAAUUACUGGGCGUAAAGGGCGCGUAGGCGGCCCGCUAAGUCGAACGUGAAAUCCCCGAGCUCAACUCGGGAACUGCGUCCGAUACUGGCGGGCUUGAAUCCGGGAGAGGGAUGCGGAAUUCCAGGUGUAGCGGUGAAAUGCGUAGAUAUCUGGAGGAACACCGGUGGCGAAGGCGGCAUCCUGGACCGGCAUUGACGCUGAGGCGCGAAAGCUAGGGGAGCAAACGGG